GGAAAAUUAAACAUCCAUGCCGUCUACAAGUUAAACUAAGCACAGUGCUAGUUUCAGUUUUUCCGCAGCAGUCUUCUUUUCCUUGAAUUGCUCAACAAACAUAAGACGCAAUUGCUUUGUCCCUUGGAAGAAAUAAAUAAAUAUCAUAAGUGCAUCGAAAAAUGCAAAGAUGAUUGUUCGAAAUUUAAAUAUAUCAUUGACAUUCAAGAAAGAUAUGAGAGAGAAUAUAUGAAUCCUACGGAAACGAUGGAAGAGUCUGGCUUUAUUAGCGUAGAAAUCUAUCUAGAUGAUACUGAAAUUAUUCGUCUUCAACACAGGCCGCAGUACAGGGAUGUGGAACUCUUCAGUCACAUCGGUGGCUUCAUUGGAGUUUGGCUUGGGGUUUCGUUAGUUUCGGUGAUGGAUCUACUUGAAGCUUUGUGCCGUAUAUUUACUUACGUGUUUAGAAAACGAAAUCAAUCAUAAACUUACCGUGUUUUAACAGUUGAGAUUAUCAUAAACUUAAGCAAGGAUCUCUUCUUGUCUCAUAAAAUAAUUUACUCUGAAACUGAAACGUUCGCAUGCUUGAACAGGAAUACUAUUGAUUUUCGAAAUAAUAAAUAUCAGUUUCUUCUUCUAAUGAUAAAGUUUAAUAUUAUUAAACAACUCUUCUUAUUAUUCCCUCUUCUUUCUUUUUCUCCUCCUUCGAUCUCUUCUUCUUCAGUUUUUCUUAUUAAAUGUUUGAAUUUUUGACACUAAUUACAGUAGAUUCAAUGCAUAUGCAAAUAUUUUAUGUAGAAUAAAAUACAGGCAUUUAUUAAGACUGCUUAUAUGCCCUUUUGCAGUUCACGAAUAAAAUAAUUUUUUUCUUUGCAUAUUAAAUGUUCACCUUCUGGCUGAUAUAUAUUACAUAUUGUAAUUGAAAAAUUCAUUCUCUUUGUUAAACUAUGUGUGAGUUUAAUGUUAAUGUGCACUAUAUCUCAGACAAUUUGCUGUAGAUUUAUCUAUCUUCAUUUUUACUUUAUGAUGUACUGAAACAAGUUUAAUAUGUGUAUGAAUCUGAAAUAAAACAUUAACUUAAUCGAUCGAUCGUAAUUAUUUAAAUUACAAGAACUUUUUGACCCAUGAUAUAUUUAUACGUUACGAAACCUUUAGACAUUCGUAGCUAAAGCUUCAGUUUAUAAAUGGAUACAUCUUACAAUAAAUCAUUUUCUACAUAGAACCUUAAGACAUUAAUUUCUUUUAGUUUGAGACAAGGCUUCUUAAUUUUUAAAAGUGCAAUAACGGAUGUUUAUCCUUUUUAUUUCGGAUAAUUAACUAUUGUAAUAUGUUAGCCCAUUUGUUUUUGGCAUUUUAGCUUUAUUAUUAAGCACCGUUCUUCGCAUUUAUGAUAGACAGAUUUCAACAACAACAAAAAUAUCACAAAAUUUUGAAAAGCUUCAUAGCAGUAGUGUUAA
rnacentral:misc_RNA from 1 species